UGAAAAGUCCCGCAGGCA
rnacentral:tRNA from 1 species